rnacentral:rRNA from 1 species
GAUGAACGCUGGCGGCGUGCCUAAUACAUGCGAGUCGAGCGGACAGACGAGGAGCUUGCUCCUUUGACGUUAGCGGCGGACGGGUGAGUAACACGUGGGUAACCUACCUAUAAGACUGGGAUAACUUCGGGAAACCGGAGCUAAUACCGGAUAAUAUUUCGAACCGCAUGGUUCGAUAGUGAAAGAUGGCUUUGCUAUCACUUAUAGAUGGACCUGCGCCGUAUUAGCUAGUUGGUAAGGUAACGGCUUACCAAGGCAACGAUACGUAGCCGACCUGAGAGGGUGAUCGGCCACACUGGAACUGAGACACGGUCCAGACUCCUACGGGAGGCAGCAGUAGGGAAUCUUCCGCAAUGGGCGAAAGCCUGACGGAGCAACGCCGCGUGAGUGAUGAAGGUCUUCGGAUCGUAAAACUCUGUUAUUAGGGAAGAACAAACGUGUAAGUAACUGUGCACGUCUUGACGGUACCUAAUCAGAAAGCCACGGCUAACUACGUGCCAGCAGCCGCGGUAAUACGUAGGUGGCAAGCGUUAUCCGGAAUUAUUGGGCGUAAAGCGCGCGUAGGCGGUUUUUUAAGUCUGAUGUGAAAGCCCACGGCUCAACCGUGGAGGGUCAUUGGAAACUGGAAAACUUGAGUGCAGAAGAGGAAAGUGGAAUUCCAUGUGUAGCGGUGAAAUGCGCAGAGAUAUGGAGGAACACCAGUGGCGAAGGCGACUUUCUGGUCUGUAACUGACGCUGAUGUGCGAAAGCGUGGGGAUCAAACAGGAUUAGAUACCCUGGUAGUCCACGCCGUAAACGAUGAGUGCUAAGUGUUAGGGGGUUUCCGCCCCUUAGUGCUGCAGCUAACGCAUUAAGCACUCCGCCUGGGGAGUACGACCGCAGGGUUGAAACUCAAAGGAAUUGACGGGGACCCGCACAAGCGGUGGAGCAUGUGGUUUAGUUCGAAGCAACGCGAAGAACCUUACCAAAUCUUGACAUCCUUUGACCCUUCUAGAGAUAGAAGUUUCCCCUUCGGGGGACAAAGUGACAGGUGGUGCAUGGUUGUCGUCAGCUCGUGUCGUGAGAUGUUGGGUUAAGUCCCGCAACGAGCGCAACCCUUAAGCUUAGUUGCCAUCAUUAAGUUGGGCACUCUAAGUUGACUGCCGGUGACAAACCGGAGGAAGGUGGGGAUGACGUCAAAUCAUCAUGCCCCUUAUGAUUUGGGCUACACACGUGCUACAAUGGACAAUACAAAGGGCAGCGAAACCGCGAGGUCAAGCAAAUCCCAUAAAGUUGUUCUCAGUUCGGAUUGUAGUCUGCAACUCGACUACAUGAAGCUGGAAUCGCUAGUAAUCGUAGAUCAGCAUGCUACGGUGAAUACGUUCCCGGGUCU